ACUUUAAAUGGGUAAGAACCUUAACUUUCUUGAUAUGAAGUUUAAGGUUAUGAUAUAAUGUGCCCAGUGGGCCACUUUUGGUAAGCAGAACUGGCGCUGUGGGAUGAACCAAACGUAAUGUUACGGUGCCCAAAUUAACAACUCAUGCAGAAACCAUGAAAGGCGUUGGUUGCUUAAAACAGCAGGACGGUGAUCAUGGAAGUCGAAAUCCGCUAAGGAGUGUGUAACAACUCACCUGCCGAAGCAACUAGCCCUUAAAAUGGAUGGCGCUUAAGUUGUAUACCUAUACAUUACCGCUAAAGUAGAUGAUUUAUAUUACUUGUGAUAUAAAUUUUGAAACUUUAGUGAGUAGGAAGGUACAAUGGUAUGCGUAGAAGUGUUUGGCGUAAGCCUUCAUGGAGCUGCCAUUGGCACAGAUCUUGGUGGUAGUAGCAAAUAAUCGAAUGAGACCUUGGAGGACUGAAGUGGAGAAGGGUUUCGUGUGAACAGUGGUUGAUCACGAGUUAGUCGGUCCUAAGUUCAAGGCGAAAGCCGAAAAUUUUCAAGUAAAAAAUCAGUGAGUAAUAUUGUCAAAUCUUUUAUGAUUUUUAAAUACUUGAAUAAUUUUGAACGAAAGGGAAUACGGUUCCAAUUCCGUAACCUGUUGAGUAUCCGUUUGUUAUUAAAUAUGGGCCUCGUGCUCAUCCUGGCAACAGGAACGACCAUAAAGAAGCCGUCGAGAGAUAUCGGAAGAGUUUUCUUUUCUGUUUUAUAGCCGUACUACCAUGGAAGUCUUUCGCAGAGAGAUAUGGUAGAUGGGCUAGAAGAGCAUGACAUAUACUGUUGUGUCGAUAUUUUCUCCUCGGACCUUGAAAAUUUAUGGUGGGGACACGCAAACUUCUCAACAGGCCGUACCAAUAUCCGCAGCUGGUCUCCAAGGUGAAGAGUCUCUAGUCGAUAGAAUAAUGUAGGUAAGGGAAGUCGGCAAAUUAGAUCCGUAACUUCGGGAUAAGGAUUGGCUCUGAAGAUUGAGAUAGUCGGGCUUGAUUGGGAAACAAUAACAUGGUUUAUGUGCUCGUUCUGGUAAAUAGAGUUUCUAUCAUUUAUGGUAGUUACUUGUUCCCCGGAUAGUUUAGUUACGUAGCCAAUUGUGGAACUUUCUUGCUAAAAUUUUUAAGAAUACUAAUUGGGUUAAACCAGUUAGUUCUUAUUAAUUAUAACGAUUAUCAAUUAACAAUCAAUUCAGAACUGGCACGGACUUGGGGAAUCCGACUGUCUAAUUAAAACAAAGCAUUGUGAUGGCCCUAGCGGGUGUUGACACAAUGUGAUUUCUGCCCAGUGCUCUGAAUGUCAAAGUGAAGAAAUUCAAGUAAGCGCGGGUCAACGGCGGAGUAACUAUGACUCUCUUAAGGUAGCCAAAUGCCUCGUCAUCUAAUUAGUGACGCGCAUGAAUGGAUUAACGAGAUUCCUACUGUCCCUAUCUACUGUGCAGUUCCAAGGCUGCACAUUGAGGUCGGCCCCCUAGUGGGAGUAUCGUGGUGGCUGUGGUUGAUACCCAAACGUUACGCGGGAGAGCCGCUAGGCUCCUCGUGGAGUUGCGCUCUCAACCGGGUGCCGAGACCCAUAGAUCGGAAGACGUGUUAGAUACACCUCGCCCUCACCAAGGGGGAUUGUAUGCCCGACCAGGAUACUUUCAAUUGGUACCAGAAGAGUCGCUAUGUACAUAGCUAUAGCUUCUUUUUAGGGGCGUUAACUGGCGCAUUGUACCAGGUUCCUGCGUAUGUAGCGGUGGUGCGUGAUGGCGUGAUAUAUGUAAAUAUAUCGCACUAAUCGAGGCUAAGCUGCAGAUAAACAUUAGACGCCGUGGUUGAAAUCCCUCCCUGAGGAACCGCCACGUAAAAUAAAGCUGAGAGAUCAGAUUCAUUCUGUCCCUAUCUACUAUCUAGCGAAACCACAGCCAAGGGAACGGGCUUGGAAUAAUUAGCGGGGAAAGAAGACCCUUUUGAGCUUGACUCUAAUCUGGCAGUGUAAGGAGACAUAAGAGGUGUAGCAUAAGUGGGAGAUAUUAGAUUUCGGUUUGGUAUCGACAAUGAAAUACCACUACUCUUAUUGUUUCCUUACUUACUUGAUUAAAUGGAACGUGUAUCAUUUCCUAGCCAUUAUACGGAUAUAUUUAUUAUAUCUUAUGGUAUUGGGUUUUGAUGCAAGCUUCUUGAUCAAAGUAUCACGAGUUUGUUAUAUAAUCGCAAACAAAUUCUUUAAUGAGAAAAUGCAUUUAUGUAUUUUCAAUUUGAAAAUUUGGUAUAACUCCAA
rnacentral:rRNA from 1 species